UAUGUUAGUAUAAUAGUUAUCCUGCUGCAUGGUAAUAUAUUAUAUAUAUAUAUUAUACAUAGUGCCGGUCGGUGGUUAUUAUAAAUGAACCAUCGCUCCGUCUCAACGAUUUUGUUCACCGAGUGCUGCUGAAGCUGUCUUCAAAAAAAAAAAAAAUCGAUAAGUCGUCGAGGGAAAAAUCGAUUUUUUAAACAUGAUUAAUUUACUAUCGCUAUGUUUGUGGUUGACUACUGCGGUGUUGGUCGUUACUGGUCAAUAUUACAUAAACCCGCAAGUGCAAGUUCCAAUCAAACCGUAUCCGUAUGCUUAUCAAUAUUAUAAAGCACCCGCUCCAGCCGAAAUUGUGAUUCCGCCGACUACACGAUACCUGACCGGUUACGAUGUCUUGCACUCUUAUGAACCUGUCGAAAAACAUGGUUACAAGUAUUCGUACUGAAGCGUUAAAAUUAAAAUAUACAUAGCAUACAUUACAUAUUAUGCAAUAUUUUAGUAUCUACCGCUUGAAUACACUUACUUAACCUAAAAAAAAAUGUAUAAGUUAUAUUAAAUUACGCGUGGAAUAUAUUAUUUCCGGUGUUAAUAUAUUAUAUUACGAUUAAUUGAUCACUUGUAUGUUACAUAAUAUUACGGAGGAAAUAAAAAAACGUAUGACCGCCAAUAAAGACGAUAUUACGAUAGUACAGUUUACUUGUAAUAUCUGUCAGUGCUUAUUCUCUAGUAAUGAUGUACAUACUACACAGAAGGUACCUCUGUAAGAUGACAGAAAUAUUUUUAUUUUAAUGCCCAAAAUGUUAAUAAUUUGACCUACGGGAAUAAAAUAUUAAAAUAUGCUCUAAACAUUUUGUUUUAGUUUUAUGACGAAAAUGUGUCCGAUAUACUCAUAGUUUAAUAUAGUAAAAAUGUUUAUAGUGAUACCUAAUGAUGAUAACUUUUACCUUUACGUUUAUAAUAUUAUUUUGCAAACAAUAAAUUUUUUAUUGUAUUUAUUGAAAUAUUUAUUUUUAUAAAAUAGUGUAUGCUGUAGUUUGUAUGUAAUAUAUUAUAUUAUAUUAGUUUAUGAAGAAGUGUAUCAAUAGUUUUAUAAUUAUUGUAAUUAUAAUUAUUAUUAACGUUCAUAUAAUAUCUCUAUUUAUUUAAAUUAUUGGAAUAUGCAAAAUGUAAAUUAAUAUUACAACGUUACAAGCUGUGUGCACCACGGUCAUUGGUCCGUUAAUAUAAGUCUUUAAUUUUUAUAUAAAAGUCAGCUAUAACAGUCUUAAGUCACUCACAAAUUGUCUAUUCGAGUUUAUCCGUGGUAACUAAAAACGGCGUAGCAUAUGGGCAAAUAUAGUUACAUAAAUGUUAUGCGAA